rnacentral:rRNA from 1 species
UCAUCUCCGGGGGUAGAGCACUGUUUCGGCAAGGGGGUCAUCCCGACUUACCAACCCGAUGCAAACUGCGAAUACCGGAGAAUGUUAUCACGGGAGACACACGGCGGGUGCUAACGUCCGUCGUGAAGAGGGAAACAACCCAGACCGCCAGCUAAGGUCCCAAAGUCAUGGUUAAGUGGGAAACGAUGUGGGAAGGCCCAGACAGCCAGGAUGUUGGCUUAGAAGCAGCCAUCAUUUAAAGAAAGCGUAAUAGCUCACUGGUCGAGUCGGCCUGCGCGGAAGAUGUAACGGGGCUAAACCAUGCACCGAAGCUGCGGCAGCGACGCUGAUGCGUUGUUGGGUAGGGGAGCGUUCUGUAAGCCUGUGAAGGUGUACUGUGAGGUAUGCUGGAGGUAUCAGAAGUGCGAAUGCUGACAUAAGUAACGAUAAAGCGGGUGAAAAGCCCGCUCGCCGGAAGACCAAGGGUUCCUGUCCAACGUUAAUCGGGGCAGGGUGAGUCGACCCCUAAGGCGAGGCCGAAAGGCGUAGUCGAUGGGAAACAGGUUAAUAUUCCUGUACUUGGUGUUACUGCGAAGGGGGGACGGAGAAGGCUAUGUUGGCCGGGCGACGGUUGUCCCGGUUUAAGCGUGUAGGCUGGUUUUCCAGGCAAAUCCGGAAAAUCAAGGCUGAGGCGUGAUGACGAGGCACUACGGUGCUGAAGCAACAAAUGCCCUGCUUCCAGGAAAAGCCUCUAAGCAUCAGGUAACAUCAAAUCGUACCCCAAACCGACACAGGUGGUCAGGUAGAGAAUACCAAGGCGCUUGAGAGAACUCGGGUGAAGGAACUAGGCAAAAUGGUGCCGUAACUUCGGGAGAAGGCACGCUGAUAUGUAGGUGAAGCGACUUGCUCGUGGAGCUGAAAUCAGUCGAAGAUACCAGCUGGCUGCAACUGUUUAUUAAAAACACAGCACUGUGCAAACACGAAAGUGGACGUAUACGGUGUGACGCCUGCCCGGUGCCGGAAGGUUAAUUGAUGGGGUCAGCGCAAGCGAAGCUCUUGAUCGAAGCCCCGGUAAACGGCGGCCGUAACUAUAACGGUCCUAAGGUAGCGAAAUUCCUUGUCGGGUAAGUUCCGACCUGCACGAAUGGCGUAAUGAUGGCCAGGCUGUCUCCACCCGAGACUCAGUGAAAUUGAACUCGCUGUGAAGAUGCAGUGUACCCGCGGCAAGACGGAAAGACCCCGUGAACCUUUACUAUAGCUUGACACUGAACAUUGAGCCUUGAUGUGUAGGAUAGGUGGGAGGCUUUGAAGUGUGGACGCCAGUCUGCAUGGAGCCGACCUUGAAAUACCACCCUUUAAUGUUUGAUGUUCUAACGUUGACCCGUAAUCCGGGUUGCGGACAGUGUCUGGUGGGUAGUUUGACUGGGGCGGUCUCCUCCUAAAGAGUAACGGAGGAGCACGAAGGUUGGCUAAUCCUGGUCGGACAUCAGGAGGUUAGUGCAAUGGCAUAAGCCAGCUUGACUGCGAGCGUGACGGCGCGAGCAGGUGCGAAAGCAGGUCAUAGUGAUCCGGUGGUUCUGAAUGGAAGGGCCAUCGCUCAACGGAUAAAAGGUACUCCGGGGAUAACAGGCUGAUACCGCCCAAGAGUUCAUAUCGACGGCGGUGUUUGGCACCUCGAUGUCGGCUCAUCACAUCCUGGGGCUGAAGUAGGUCCCAAGGGUAUGGCUGUUCGCCAUUUAAAGUGGUACGCGAGCUGGGUUUAGAACGUCGUGAGACAGUUCGGUCCCUAUCUGCCGUGGGCGCUGGAGAACUGAGGGGGGCUGCUCCUAGUACGAGAGGACCGGAGUGGACGCAUCACUGGUGUUCGGGUUGUCAUGCCAAUGGCACUGCCCGGUAGCUAAAUGCGGAAGAGAUAAGUGCUGAAAGCAUCUAAGCACGAAACUUGCCCCGAGAUGAGUUCUCCCUGACUCCUUGAGAGUCCUGAAGGAACGUUGAAGACGACGACGUUGAUAGGCCGGGUGUGUAAGCGCAGCGAUGCGUUGAGCUAACCGGUACUAAUGAACCGUGAGGCUUAACCUU